AAAGAUUAAGCCAUGCACGUGUCAGUGCAAGCCGCAUUAGGGUGAAACCGCGGACGGCUCAUUAAAUCAGCUGUAAUUCACUAGAUGGUACGAACGAAUACUUGGAUAACUGUGGCAAUUCUAGAGCUAAUACAUGCUUUAACGAGUUUUAGCCGUCAAGCGCGCGGCAAGAACGCUUUUAUUAGAUCAAAACCAAUGGAACUCGCGCUCGUCGCGAGUCCGUCACCACUCGUGGUGACUCCGAAUAACUUUCAGCUGAUCGCACGGCCUCCGCGCCGGCGACGCAUCUUUCAAAUGUCUGACUUAUCAACUGUCGAUGGUAGGUUCUGCGCCUACCAUGGUCAUAACGGGUAACGGGGAAUCAGGGUUCGAUUCCGGAGAGGGAGCCUGAGAAACGGCUACCACAUCCAAGGAAGGCAGCAGGCGCGCAAAUUACCCACUCUCGGCACGGGGAGGUAGUGACGAAAAAUAACGAUGCAGAACUCUUUCCGAGGCUCUGCAAUCGGAAUGAGAACACUCUAAAUCAUUUAACGAGUAUCCAUUGGAGGGCAAGUCUGGUGCCAGCAGCCGCGGUAAUUCCAGCUCCAAUAGCGUAUAUUAAAGUUGUUGCGGUUAAAAAGCUCGUAGUUGGACUUGGGUUCCGCGAUGUCGGUACGCCGCCCGUCGGCGCAACUGACAUGCGGCGGAACGUCCUGCCGGUUGGCGGAGCGGGGGCGAGGAAUCAGUCGAAACGCCCGACUCCCUCGCUUGAACGUCGGGACCGUGCGGCGCGCGGUCGUUCGUUCGGCCGCGUCAUGGGAAGCCCUCUCGGCCUUCGGGACGAGCUCGGGGCGUUCCUGCAGGUCGCAUCGACGUCGCCGUUCGCGCGGACCAUCCCGAUCCGCGUCCGUCAGAUUAAACACAAUCCCGUCGCGAUGCUCUUUGCCGGGUGUCGCGGUGGGCCGGCACUUUCACUUUGAACAAAUUUGAGUGCUCAACUCAGGCAACGACAGCCGGAAAAUCGCGUGCAUGGAAUGAUGGAAUAGGGCCGCGGUUCUAUUUUAUUGGUUUCCGGAAUCCCCGUGGCAAUGAUUAAUGGGGACAGACGGGGGCAUUGGUAUUGCGACGUUAGAGGUGAAAUUCUCGGAUCGUCGCAGGACUGACCUCAGCGAAAGCAUUUGCCAAGGAUGUUUUUGUUAAUCAAGAACGAUAGUUAGAGGUUCGAAGGCGAUCAGAUACCGCCCUAGUUCUAACCGUAAAUGAUGUCAGCCAGCGAUCCGUCGAAGUUCCUCCGAUGACUCGUCGGGAAGCUUCCGGGAAACCAAAGCUUUUGGAUUCCGGGGGAAGUAUGGUUGCAAAGCUGAAACUUAAAGGAAUUGACGGAAGGGCACCACCAGGAGUGGAGCUUGCGGCUUAAUUUGACUCAACACGGGGAACCUCACCAGGCCCGGACACUGGGAGGAUUGACAGAUUGAGAGCUCUUUCUUGAUUCAGUGGGUGGUGGUGCAUGGCCGUUCUUAGUUGGUGGAGCGAUUUGUCUGGUUAAUUCCGAUAACGAACGAGACUCUAGCCUGUUAACUAGGCGAACAUAUAACCGGCAUCCGUCACAGGCUGCCGGCGGCUCGAAUUCUUCUUAGAGGGACAAGCGGUUUCUAGCCGCACGAGAUUGAGCAAUAACAGGUCUGUGAUGCCCUUAGAUGUUCUGGGCCGCACGCGUGCUACACUGAAGGAAUCAACGUGUCGAGCAACCUGAGCCGAGAGGUUCGGGGAACCAUUUCAACCUCCUUCGUGCUAGGGAUUGGGGCUUGAAAUUAUUCCCCACGAACGAGGAAUUCCCAGUAAGCGCGAGUCAUCAGCUCGCGUUGAUUACGUCCCUGCCCUUUGUACACACCGCCCGUCGCUACUACCGAUUGAACGAUUUAGUGAGGUCUUCGGACCUGCGCGCGAGAGUCUCCUUCGCGGCGACUCCCGAAGUCGCGGGGAAGACGACCGAACUUGAUCGUUUAGAGGAAGUAAAAGUCGUAACAAGGUU
rnacentral:rRNA from 1 species